GCCCGCCUAGCCCAACAGGUACGAGGCGCACGGCUUAGACCCGUGAGGUUCCCGGUUCGACUCCGGGGGCGGGCA
rnacentral:tRNA from 1 species